rnacentral:tRNA from 1 species
GUCCGUAGCUCAAUUGGUUAGAGCAUCCCCCUCCUAAGGGGAAGGUUGGAGGUUCGACCUCUCUCCGGGACGCCA